CUUGCUCCCGGAUGUUAGCGGCGGACGGGUGAGUAACACGUGGGUAACCUGCCUGUAAGACUGGGAUAACUCCGGGAAACCGGAGCUAAUACCGGAUAGUUCCUUGAACCGCAUGGUUCAAGGAUGAAAGACGGUUUCGGCUGUCACUUACAGAUGGACCCGCGGCGCAUUAGCUAGUUGGUGAGGUAACGGCUCACCAAGGCGACGAUGCGUAGCCGACCUGAGAGGGUGAUCGGCCACACUGGGACUGAGACACGGCCCAGACUCCUACGGGAGGCAGCAGUAGGGAAUCUUCCGCAAUGGACGAAAGUCUGACGGAGCAACGCCGCGUGAGUGAUGAAGGUUUUCGGAUCGUAAAGCUCUGUUGUUAGGGAAGAACAAGUGCAAGAGUAACUGCUUGCACCUUGACGGUACCUAACCAGAAAGCCACGGCUAACUACGUGCCAGCAGCCGCGGUAAUACGUAGGUGGCAAGCGUUGUCCGGAAUUAUUGGGCGUAAAGGGCUCGCAGGCGGUUUCUUAAGUCUGAUGUGAAAGCCCCCGGCUCAACCGGGGAGGGUCAUUGGAAACUGGGAAACUUGAGUGCAGAAGAGGAGAGUGGAAUUCCACGUGUAGCGGUGAAAUGCGUAGAGAUGUGGAGGAACACCAGUGGCGAAGGCGACUCUCUGGUCUGUAACUGACGCUGAGGAGCGAAAGCGUGGGGAGCGAACAGGAUUAGAUACCCUGGUAGUCCACGCCGUAAACGAUGAGUGCUAAGUGUUAGGGGGUUUCCGCCCCUUAGUGCUGCAGCUAACGCAUUAAGCACUCCGCCUGGGGAGUACGGUCGCAAGACUGAAACUCAAAGGAAUUGACGGGGGCCCGCACAAGCGGUGGAGCAUGUGGUUUAAUUCGAAGCAACGCGAAGAACCUUACCAGGUCUUGACAUCCUCUGACAACCCUAGAGAUAGGGCUUUCCCUUCGGGGACAGAGUGACAGGUGGUGCAUGGUUGUCGUCAGCUCGUGUCGUGAGAUGUUGGGUUAAGUCCCGCAACGAGCGCAACCCUUGAUCUUAGUUGCCAGCAUUCAGUUGGGCACUCUAAGGUGACUGCCGGUGACAAACCGGAGGAAGGUGGGGAUGACGUCAAAUCAUCAUGCCCCUUAUGACCUGGGCUACACACGUGCUACAAUGGACAGAACAAAGGGCUGCGAGACCGCAAGGUUUAGCCAAUCCCACAAAUCUGUUCUCAGUUCGGAUCGCAGUCUGCAACUCGACUGCGUGAA
rnacentral:rRNA from 2 species